CCCGCCCUUGAAUACUAUACCUUAGUUGCUUUGGCAGGCCGUGGAAACACCACAGGCCCCGGCUGGUGUGUGCCUGCCAGAGGAAGCCUAAACUCUGUUUUUAGUGAUGUCUGAGUACUAUAUAAUAGUUAAAACUUUCAAUAACGGAUCUCUUGGUUCUGGCAUCGAUGAAGAACGCAGCGAAAUGCGAUAAGUAAUGUGAAUUGCAGAAUUCAGUGAAUCAUCGAAUCUUUGAACGCACAUUGCGCCCCGUGGUAUUCCGCGGGGCAUGCCUGUUCGAGCGUCAUGUAAACCCAUCAAGCCCCGGCUUGGUCUUGGGGUAUGCGGUUCCGCAGCCUCUAAACGCAGUGGCGGUGCGAUCAAGCUCUGAGCGUAGUAAAUUUCCUCGCUAUAGAGUCUUGGUCGUGGCUUGCCAACAACCCCCAACUUCUUUAGAUUGACCUCGGAUCAGGUAGGGAUACCCGCUGAACUUAAGCAUAUCA
rnacentral:rRNA from 1 species